rnacentral:rRNA from 1 species
GACGAACGCUGGCGGCGUGCCUAACACAUGCAAGUCGAACGAAACUUUUUGCUUCGGUAGAAAGUUUAGUGGCGGACGGGUGAGUAACGCGUGAGGAACCUGCCUUUCAGAGGGGGAUAAUGUCUGGAAACGGACACUAAUACCGCAUGACAUUUUUUGUUCAGAUGGACAGAAAAUCAAAGGAGCAAUUUGCUGAAAGAUGGACUCGCGUCCGAUUAGCUAGAUGGUGAGAUAAUAGCCCACCAUGGCGACGAUCGGUAGCCGGACUGAGAGGUUGAACGGCCACAUUGGGACUGAGACACGGCCCAGACUCCUACGGGAGGCAGCAGUGGGGAAUAUUGGGCAAUGGGCGCAAGCCUGACCCAGCAACGCCGCGUGAAGGAAGAAGGCUUUCGGGUUGUAAACUUCUUUUAAGAGGGAAGAGCAAAAGACGGUACCUUUAGAAUAAGCCAC